rnacentral:lncRNA from 1 species
UGCUGCAUAAGUAUGGACCACAAUGCUUUCUGCUUGAAGAUGAUUGAUUAAAAGAGGAAUAGAUAACAACAGUUGCUCUUUAGGUACUUGGUUUCUAAAAAUCAUGAUAUAUUUGAUACCAUCAGCUUUUAGCACUGGAAAUUCAUUCACACUAGCUGACUUUAAGUCAGGCUGAAUGUGAUUCACAAAGAAUUCUGUCAGAUUAACAAGUUCAUUGGCUUGUGUUAUUCCAUGCUUCUGUGUCUGAGCCUUGGAUGCCAACGAUGUAACAAGGUAUAUAGCUGCAUCUUUGUGCUUCCAGUUAACAGAUGGAUUCUUUGCAUAUUCCUGAAGCAUGGAAUUAACGUAUCCAGAAAAAAUUCCUGUCACAGGCCCUUCAAAGAACUUGCACAAGCCUCUGACCAGAUCACAAGCUGCUCUGCGCCUUGUGUCAAUAUCAGAUCCUUCCAAAUCCCUUCUUAUAUAUUCUUCAGAAUUAUCUUCAAAUGCUUCUUCAUCAGCAGCUCUAAAUUCCAUGUUAGGAACAAUAACUUUUUCACAGAUGCUUGUCAACGUAUUCUGGUCUUCGAACAGAUGCUUGUAAUGUGGUCUUUCACAAACCGAGGCCAGAAACUGGAUUGCAUUACUAACCAACAAAUCAUAUUUCACUUCCUGACCUGUUGUGACUAACAGAUUCCAGAUUGCUGUCACAAAACGUGGCAAGUAGGGCUGGAAUUCUUCGUCAUAUUUUUGAGCAUAUAGAGCAGCAUUAUCACAAAUCUGAGAUUUCAAGAGCUCCAGUAAGCCGGCUUCUUCUUCAUCAUCAGUCUGCAGAAGUUUAUUAUCUAAAGUUAAGAGACUAUGAAAAUUUGUCAUCCACGUUUCCAUGUUAUCUUCAAAAAACUCAGGCAAAUCCUGAAAAUUUAAACUGUAGAACAGCUUCGCAAUUAGAAUGAGAGAAGAAAAGAGAACCUUCAAAGCACUAGCAUCGUUUGCAUGCGUGCUGCAAAGGUCAAUAGUUGCCUUAAAGAGAUUUGUCAAGGGCAAUGCAAAGGCAUCAAGGACAAGUUUGAUCUCUGUCCAUAAUUCAUUUGACUUAAAUUCAUGGCGGUACCUUUUAAACAAAGAGUGAGCAGUACGAAGGACGCCAUUAAUGACAUGGAAGUCUCCACUUUGAAAGCGGUUCACCAUUUCUGUCAGCAAGUCUGGCCACUUCUGAGGAAAGUCUUCCCGGCCAAUAAUACUGAUGGCAUCACUUAACUGCUUUUGAAUUUGUUCCGGGCUGCUAAGCAUCAAGGGCACUAUGUUGGCUUUAAUGGCUAUCCUGUCUGAUUCAAAUAUUUUGUUCGGUUCAUCCUCCACAAUUCUCCAGUUCCUUUUGAUGUAAUUCUUGAAUGUUACCGACGCGCAGACUUUGAUGACAUUUUCCUGCGAUUUCUCCAGCAGCGUUAAGAGCAGCAAUGGAUAAUUCUGGCUUCCUUCAACUGUCUCAAGAAACUUCUCCGCAGGACGCCUUAUUGCAGGAUCUGGAUCCAGUGUUUUCUUUAGGUACUCAGUUAAGGUCUGUAAAUUGGCAUCGCUCAGCUCCAUUUUGGCAGAAACUGUCGGCCUCCUCCAAGCGGCGGCGGCGGCUCGGAGAGCUCCGGCUGCACUUCACAUUCAAACCGCGGUGAGAGGGCGCGGCGGCGGCACC